rnacentral:rRNA from 1 species
AUUGAACGCUGGCGGCAUGCUUUACACAUGCAAGUCGAACGGUAACAGGCCUUCGGGUGCUGACGAGUGGCGAACGGGUGAGUAAUGCAUCGGAACGUACCCAGAGGCGGGGGAUAACGCAGCGCAAGCUGUGCUCAUACCGCAUGUGAUCUGAGGAUGAAAGCGGGGGACCGAGCAGCAAUGUUUGGCCUCGCGCCUUUGGAGCGGCCGAUGUCGGAUUAGCUAGUUGGUGGGGUAAAGUCCUACCAAGGCGACGAUCCGUAGCUGGUCUGAGAGGACGACCAGCCACACUGGGACUGAGACACGGCCCAGACUCCUACGGGAGGCAGCAAUGGGGAAUUUUGGACAAUGGGCGCAAGCCUGAUCCAGCAAUGCCGCGUGCGGGAAGAAGGCCUUCGGGUUGUAAACCGCUGUUGGCAGGAACGAAACGGUGUCCGCUAAUACCGGGCGCUAAUGACGGUACCUGCAGAAUAAGCACCGGCUAACUACGUG